UAAAUAAUAACACCUAUGAGCAUGAUGUCUACCCUUUGCAUACAUAAAUGACCCUCCCCUUUUCACUAAAACCCGAUAAAUUAUUACAAGUUAUUACAACCCAGAAUGAAUAAGAAUAGCAAAUUUACAUUAGAAAUUAAACUAUAACCAAUGAGCUUAAUUCAGACUCGAGGUCUAAAAUAUGAGAUGAACCAACUCCAAAGAUCAUGAUUUCCAAAGCCUUUCUCUUAUUUGGGAUGUCUCAAAGUCUCUAAGAGUCUCAAGUGGACUCCAAGCAGUUCUUACACCCCAAAUAUAUUGCACAAUUGAAUUACAAUGCAGUGUGGAAGGGCCAGCCCCUCAAAUGUCCAAGUUUAGAGGGAACUCAAGGUUCCCAAGGCAAGGCUCAUAGAAGGGGGUAAAACUUAGAGUCUAAGGGUAAGUGUAAGUGCAAUAGAGGGGAAAUUAGGGCAGUCCAUGGCAGACUGGUGGUCUUGCCUAGCAAUUGGGGUGCUAGCACACCCCCUGACCAUCCUGUCAACUUUAAAUUGGGGAGUUAAGACCUGUUGAAGGUCAGAUUCAGCCCUGGACAGCCAUUUGGAUGUUGCUAGGCCAUGAACUUUAACUCAGCACGCAUAAGGUGCAUGGGAAUUCAUAAUAGAAGUAGGAUACAAGGAAAAAGAAAGUAAAUGACAUACCCAGCAAUGAGAUAUACCGGCACACCCUCCAGUCUACUUAGAGGUUACGGGUCAAAACUUAGUUCAUGGACAACGAUUCUUGUUGCCAUGCUUUGAGUCCCCACUUACAAACACAUAGGGGGUAAUGGGAUAGGGAGCAAGUGUUCACAAGAAAGAGAAGCAAGCAGUAGCAUAUAGGCUUGUUAAGUUCAAUGUUAAAUUCUACAGAAAAUAGAUAUAGGUAUAAAUACUGCAAGUAAGCACAUUGGGAUGAUGCUGAGAAUUAAAUUAAGACAUGCCAGUUUUAAAGAGACAUUUUGUCAUGGACAACGAUUCUUGUUGCCAUGCUUUGAGUCCCCACUUACAAACACAUAGGGGGUAAUGGGAUAGGGAGCAAGUGUUCACAAGAAAGAGAAGCAAGCAGUAGCAUAUAGGCAUAUUAAGUUCAAUGUUAAACUUUAUAAAAAAUAGACAUGGAUUCAAAGACCGUAAGUAAACAUAUUGGGGUGAUAUUGAGAAUUGAGUUAGGAAUACCAGUUUCAAAGAGACAAGUAAAUAGAAAGCAGUAAUCUUGUAAAAGCCACGGUGCAGACAAGAAGCAAGAAUAACUUUUAAGUGAAAGUUCAGAAGAGAUUGUGAUAUUGCAGUUUUAAGUGUGUUCAAUCAUGUCUGUCCUGUGAAAAAGGUGUCGUGUAUUUAUAGUGUUAUAGUCAUGAGAAAAUAAGGUAAGCAAAUAAUAGAAUCCUGAUUGUCAAUCAGCUACACAAGACUCCCCUUAAUUAGUGGAUUCAGAUUCAAAGAUACAAACUAAUUAAGGACACAAAGUAAACAAGCAUGUGUGCAAAGUAGAAAAUCAAAAGCAAGAACAUGGAAGUUAUUUAAGCACAUGAUCUUGACAGUAUACGGUUUAUGCAAAUAAGGCAAGAGAAUCAUUUGACAGCCAGUAAAUCACAAAAGUCUGAAAUUUGGUAUGAGUGAACCAAGUCGCAAAAAUAAAGAAUGGUUCUACCAAAGCCAAAUCAUCUAGGGAAUCAGUAAAAGAUGGAAUAGAAAAUCAAUCGAGCUUUUAAAGACCAAUUAGAGGGAAAUUCAUCAUAUAUAAGGAGCUUGUGAGUAUGAAAGAAGAUUCUCGUGUAAAUCAGCAUAAAAAUCCAGUAGCAGAGUUUCUCAAAAGUCAGAAUCAUAUGGAACUCCAAAAUUUUCCUAAAAGAGUUGGGGGUUUUGAAAUAAGAAUCCUAGUUCAGGAAAAUCCCAAAAGAGAGGAAUCAAUUGGGUCAAGACAUGUAUAGCAAUGCAACAUGCAAUUACAGUAGAAGGAUUCAAAGCACUCAAUGGCAAAUAGUGAUAAGAACAACAAGAGAAACAUACUCAAAAGAACCUUAAACAAAGCUUAGUAGAAGGCAGACAAAGAACCACAAGAACGUAGCAAUGAAAAUAUAGUAGAAAAACGCAAGAAUCGUCGGAAAAGAUAACACAGUAUGACAAACAUAUAAGAACAUGAUAAACUAUUGUAAAAAAAAACUACAAGACACUAGUAUAGAACACAUAGCAAGGGAAACAUGCAAAAGAUGAUACGAGGACACAUCAGAGUCAAACACAAAGAAGAAAAAUUAUAAAAAAAAUUCUUUAAACAUUUUCCAGAAAACCCUAUCGGAAAAGAAUGGUUUUGAAAGUUAUUUUUAAAGGAAAAUUUAAGGAAAUCGUUUAAAAAUUCACGUACGGCAUGGAUACACAAUAGAUCUAAAAGAAUCGCAGAAAACCUCGUAGGGUUAGGGUUUCAGAGGACCCUAUGAUGAGAAAGGCUUGGAAAAGGUCUGAUCUAAGUCGGAUAAGAUUAGAAUCAGACUCAUGAGGCUAUGAUAUGCUAGAGCAGGUUCGGAGAUGGUUGGAAACCUUGAAUCGGCGAAGGUCUAGGUGAAGGCCUUCGAAGUCUGACCUCGAACCUUCAAAUAUCAGGCACAUGAGGGAAAUAGGAGGCGAAUAUAGGUCGUUCAUGGCCAGAGAGGCCAUAGAUACCGGUAAAUCGGAGGUUGAAGAUGGUGGAGGCGAUUAGGGUUUCAGGAACAUUCGAGAGAGUUUGAGAAGGGUGACGAUAUUCAGAGGCAGCUGCCCUAUUUAAAUGAGAGAGUUAGGUUAGGGUUGGGGGAUUAAAAAGGUAAGGAGUAAUCGUGCCCGUUGAUCAGGUUGAUCAACAACCUAGAUUAAAAGGGGUUUGGGUCAGGUAAUAUAGACGGGUUAAUGGUUGGGGUUAAGUGGGAUUGGGCUGGUCCGGAAUUGGGCUAGAAAUUGGGUCAAUUAGGGGGUUAAAUUAGGCUAUAAUUGAAAUGAUAAUGGG
rnacentral:lncRNA from 1 species